rfam:Glycine soja cultivar W05 scaffold2013_8, whole genome shotgun sequence.
UCCUCAAUAGCUCAGUGGUAGAGCAGUCGACUGUUAACAGAUUGGUAGUAGGUUCGAAUCCUACUUGAGAAG